rnacentral:rRNA from 1 species
CAAUAGCGUAUAUUAAAGCUGUUGCGGUUAAAAAGCUCGUAGUUGGAUUUCUGUCAAGGACAACUGGUCCGCCCUCCGGGUGAGCACAUAGUUUGGUCUUGGCAUCUUGCUGGAAGCUGUUGCUGCACUUGGCUGUGUGGCGCAGCGUCCAGCACUUUUACUUUGAGGAAAUUGGAGUGUUUCAAGCAGGCACAUGCCUUUGGACACAGUAGCAUGGAAUAACUAGAUUGGGCUUUUGCUCCAAUUUGUCGGUUUCUGGAGCUGAGGUGAGAAUUAAUGGGGAUUGUUGGGGGCAUCCGAAUUUAGCCGUCAGAGGUGAAAUUCUUGGAUCUGCUAAAGACGGACAACUGCGAAAGCGUUUGCCCAGGAUGUUUUCAUUGA